UACAGAGGGGGCAAGCGUUGUUCGGAAUUCCUGGGCGUAAAGGGCGCGUAGGCGGCCCGCUAAGUCGAACGUGAAAUCCCCGGGCUCAACCCGGGAACUGCGUCCGAUACUGGUGGGCUUGAAUCCGGGAGAGGGAUGCGGAAUUCCAGGUGUAGCGGUGAAAUGCGUAGAUAUCUGGAGGAACACCGGUGGCGAAGGCGGCAUCCUGGACCGGUAUUGACGCUGAGGCGCGAAAGCUAGGGGAGCAAACGGG
rnacentral:rRNA from 1 species